AUUGAACGCUGGCGGCAUGCUUUACACAUGCAAGUCGGACGGCAGCACAGAGAGGCUUGCUUCUUGGGUGGCGAGUGGCGAACGGGUGUGUAAUAUAUCGGAACGUACCGAGUAAUGGGGGAUAACUAAUCGAAAGAUUAGCUAAUACCGCAUAUUCUCUGAGGAGGAAAGCAGGGGACCUUCGGGCCUUGCGUUAUUCGAGCGGCCGAUAUCUGAUUAGCUAGUUGGUGGGGUAAAGGCCUACCAAGGCGACGAUCAGUAGCGGGUCUGAGAGGAUGAUCCGCCACACUGGGACUGAGACACGGCCCAGACUCCUACGGGAGGCAGCAGUGGGGAAUUUUGGACAAUGGGCGCAAGCCUGAUCCAGCCAUGCCGCGUGUCUGAAGAAGGCCUUCGGGUUGUAAAGGACUUUUGUCAGGGAAGAAAAGGCUGUUGCUAAUAUCGACAGCUGAUGACGGUACCUGAAGAAUAAGCACCGGCUAACUACGUG
rnacentral:rRNA from 1 species